UAAUAAAAAAAGGAAAACACUUUAGAAUUUUAUUUUUGCUUUUCACUUGAUAUAGUAUUUUUUUCCACUCUCCCGUUGAUCAAUUUUUUGGGUUUUUUGGCUUGUUUUGCGUUACGCGUUCGCGAUCAUACGUUUUCCACGCUCAGCUGUUUUGUGUUUACGUUACUCGCUCUUUCAUCUCGUUGCUCUCACUCCCGCUUCAUUACUCUUUCUUAAACUCAAGGUUCUCUUAGCAAAAAGAGCGCGAGUACAGAGCACGCGACAUUCGCUGUCAUAAUUUAGCCCGACGUUGUUGUUUUUGGUAUUUUUUGUUCACUUUUGACAUUUUUGCAUACGAAAAUUUUCCGCUUUCGGGUAGAUUUACCAUAGCGCAGAUCUUCUAACUUUUAAGUACUGUAAGUGUGCUAGUAUGUGUGCGUGAGUUUGUUUUGACUGUUCGCAUUUUCGUCGUGCCCGUUUUUUGUCUUUACAGUUUUUUGUUAAAUAAAGUGUGCCUGGCUUAUCUCGGUUCUUGGUUUUUCUUUAGAAAUUUUAAGCCACAUACUCGUACACAUACACACUGACACGCGCGUAUAUGUACGUAGCGGCUAAAAGUAAGGUAAAAUAGUCAAGGGCGCACACCUGCCCUUGGGAGUAAAGGAGAAAGAAGCAUACAGACGAACGGCCUUACAAACGAGAGCAACAAGAUAGGAAAAUCCGAAAAUGCUACACCAUAAUGUAGCUUACCAUAACAAUCCAAACCCUUAUUUUGCCAAUGAUAAGAACUCAGUUUGUAGCUACAUUUUAGCUCUACAAUUAAACAUAUUUAAAUUUAAUUAAAAUGAAAAACGAAUAAUAAUAGAUGUGGAACGACAUUUAUGAAAAUUAA